rnacentral:rRNA from 1 species
AGAGCGAACGCUGGCGGCAGGCCUAACACAUGCAAGUCGAGCGCCGUAGCAAUACGGAGCGGCAGACGGGAGAGUAACACGUGGGAACGUACCCUUUGGUUCGGAACAACCCAGGGAAACUUGGGCUAAUACCGAAUAAGCCCUUACGGGGAAAGAUUUAUCGCCGAAGGAUCGGCCCGCGUCUGAUUAGCUAGUUGGUGGGGUAACGGCCCACCAAGGCGACGAUCAGUAGCUGGUCUGAGAGGAUGAUCAGCCUCAUUGGGACUGAGACACGGCCCAAACUCCUACGGGAGGCAGCAGUGGGGAAUAUUGGACAAUGGGCGCAAGCCUGAUCCAGCAAUGCCGCGUGGGUGAAGAAGGUCUUCGGAUUGUAAAGCCCUUUCGGCGGGGACGAUGAUGACGGUACCGCAGAAGAACGCCCGGCUAACUUCGCGCCAGCAGCCGC